AUGUACCACUCAUACAUUCCGGUUCCUGUGCGCCGUCCACGCCCACCCAACGGCUGCUCGCUACGUUCUUGUUAGUC
rnacentral:sRNA from 1 species